rnacentral:rRNA from 1 species
UACGUAGGGUGCGAGCGUUAAUCGGAAUUACUGGGCGUAAAGCGUGCGCAGGCGGUUUUGUAAGCCAGAUGUGAAAUCCCCGGGCUUAACCUGGGAAUGGCAUUUGGGACUGCAAGGCUCGAGUGCGGGAGAGGAGACUGGAAUUCCUGGUGUAGCAGUGAAAUGCGUAGAUAUCAGGAGGAAUACCGAUGGCGAAGGCAGGUCUCUGGGCUGACGCUGACGCUCAGGCACGAAAGCGUGGGGAGCAAACAGG